GACGAACGCUGGCGGCGUGCUUAACACAUGCAAGUCGAACGGAAAGGCCCCUUUGGGGGUACUCGAGUGGCGAACGGGUGAGUAACACGUGAGUAACCUGCCCUUGACUUCGGGAUAACUUCAGGAAACUGGGGCUAAUACCGGAUAGGAAUCCUUGCUGCAUGGUGGGGGUUGGAAAGCUUCGGCGGUUUUGGAUGGACUCGCGGCUUAUCAGCUUGUUGGUGGGGUAGUGGCUUACCAAGGCUUUGACGGGUAGCCGGCCUGAGAGGGCGACCGGCCACAUUGGGACUGAGAUACGGCCCAGACUCCUACGGGAGGCAGCAGUGGGGAAUAUUGCACAAUGGGCGGAAGCCUGAUGCAGCAACGCCGCGUGCGGGAUGACGGCCUUCGGGUUGUAAACCGCUUUCAGCAGGGGCGAAGCUUAUGGUGACGGUACCUGCAGAAGAAGCACCGGCUAACUACGUG
rnacentral:rRNA from 1 species